ensembl:miRNA
CAGCAGCAAUUCAUGUUUUGAAGUGCUCUAAAUGGUUCAAAACGUGAGGCGCUGCUAUA